rnacentral:misc_RNA from 1 species
UCUUAAUGGGUCUUAGAGGAAAGGACAAGUAAUGAUGUUUUGAUUUAAUUAAUAAUAUUCGAAGCAACGAAAUAAUUACAAUGCUGUCGUACGUCUUAUUUUCAGACGCGGCUUUCGACUUCCCGAUUCACACUCUUCGGCUUCUACACUCGCUCGCUCUCGCUUCUCAAUUCACACUCUGCACACCUUUUGCAUCCGUUCUCUCCGGCUUCUCAACUAAUACUAACUUUAACGUCUCUUUUGUCUUUUCCCGUCGUUCGAGACACGUGUCCCGAAACGCGCGUGGCCAGGGUCACGCGGGUCUUUUCCACGAAACUAUUCACUUGAAAGGACCGACGACACCUUGAUGUACCCGACGAUGCCGCGGCUCUCGCGACAUUGUUUACGGUUCGGCCGAUAUCUUAGGCCUUUUGCCCACGAUACUACAUUUAU